UCUCACGGAGAAAGUGCGCUCAUGCCCUGCUUUUCUCACUCCCAGCUGAGAUAAGGCAUUUCCAUAGGCAAACAGCCAAAGGUCUGGAGUCAGGAAGGAUACGUAUGGUAUUAUCCCCCAUUCCACUCCACAGUACUUGUGCAACUGAAUUUCUAACCCAGUCGACUAAGACUCUGGCUAUGUAAUUUUGCUGGGAGAUGGAAUGUCAUAAUGAUCUCCCUGGUGAGGUGAGAAGAGGAACCUCUGACACUGGAGAUUGCUGUUGAGGGAGUAUAACAUUUAUGCCUGUGAGAUUGCCUGCAGCACUGAGAUCAGGCAGCCAGAGUCUCUCGACAGAUCUCAUGCUCAUCCCUUCCGGCACUGUGGAUUCAGAUUCAAGACGUUUACCCACUUUUUAUUCAUGUAGGUUUUUAGAGUGCAUAGAUCUCCUUAUCAGUGAUGCUGCAGUUGGUCUUAGUGAGCUGUCAUAUGUUUUAAGUGUCUGGAAGCUCAUGGGUGAUACAAUUGUAAAGAAUGCUUUCAAAACCUGCUUUUGUGACAUUUCUGUAAUUGGAAGUCGAUUUUAAGCAUACAGCUAAGGGAAAUGUUCCCUCUGACCUGUUUUAAAGGUUUUUUAUUUGUAGAGAUCUGCAUUCUAUUAUUUAUAUUAUGGAAAAGCAUUGCUAUAGCUUAUAAUGAAUUAUGAACAUACACUACCAGUCAAAAGUUUCGAAACACUUGACUGAAAUGUUUCUCAUGAUCUAAAAAAUAGUUUGAUCUGAAGGUGUAAGCUUAAAUGUUUGAAAUUAGUUUUGUAGACAAAAAUAUAAUUGUGCCACCAUAUUCAUUUAUUUCAUUAUAAAACUACAAUUUUAAAAAUGAAUAAUUAAAAAAAGCAGCCAAUAAGUGCCCAACAUUGAUGGGAACUCCUUCAAUACUGUUAAAAAGCAUCCCAUGAUGAUACCUCAAGAAGUUGCUUGAGAAAAUGUCAAGAGUUCAUGUCUGCAAAUUCUAGGCAAAGGGUGACUACUUUGAAGAUGCUAAAAUAUAACACAGUUUUGAUUCAUUUUUGAUUUUGUUUAGUCACAACAUAAUUCACAUAUUUCUAUUUAUGUUAUUCCAUAGUUUUCAUCACUUUACUAUUAUUCUAAAAUGUGAAGAAGAAAAAAAACAAUAUAUAUAUAUAUUGUUGUUUCUUCCUAAAGUAGAAAACCUUGUCAUAUUUAUUUACUAAUUUAAGUAAAUUUUACUUAACUUUUCGUACUGGUGUUCCCAGCAUGCUUGAACAAUUAAUGAGCUUGCAUGGUUUCACAGAUUGCAAGUUAAUUUUCAAAUCAAAAUUACUGUUCAUGUUCUUAUGAUUGUUACCAUCAUUUUGUUUUGUGCACAGUGUUGAGGUCUCCAUGCACAGCUCUAGAUAUUUCUGACUUCUUUUUAAAAAAAAAAAUAUUGUAAUAAACUUCUUAAUGUACA